GUUGAUCCUGCCAGUAUUAUAUGCUGAUGUUAAAGAUUAAGCCAUGCAUGUGUAAGUAUAAAGUCCAAGAAGGAUGAAACUGCGAACGGCUCAUUAGAACAGUUAUAGUUUCUUCGAUUAGUAAGUACAAGGAUAGCUUUGUGAAUGAUAAAGAUAAUACUUGAGACGAUCUUGGAUGUAGAGAUACAUUCAGGCCUUUGCAUCAUUUAAUGGUGUGAAGAGAAAGGAUAUCCAAAGUGAAAGUGGGUAUCAUGACAAUUGUAGAAUAGCAAUAUUUGACAAGUAAUCGAUGAGAAUAUCUGAUCUAUCAACUAGUUGGUAGUAUCGAGGACUACCAAGGUUAUAACGGAUAACGAGGAAUUAGGGUUUGACAUCGGAGAGGGAGCUUUCAAGAUGGCUACCACUUCCAAGGAAGGCAGCAGGCGCGUAAAUUACCCAAUUUCAGCAGAUAGAAGAGGUAGUGACGACAAAUAACUCACGACAUGCGUAAGCAUGUCUUGAAGGAAUGAGUAAGAAGCAAAGAGUCUUACGAAAUCAAUUGGAGGGCAAGUCUGGUGCCAGCAGCCGCGGUAAUUCCAGCUCCAAUAGUG
rnacentral:rRNA from 1 species